rnacentral:rRNA from 1 species
UACGAAGGGGGCUAGCGUUGCUCGGAAUCACUGGGCGUAAAGGGUGCGUAGGCGGGUCUUUAAGUCAAGGGGUGAAAUCCGUGGAAGCUCCAACUCCAGAACUGCCCUUUGAUACUGAAGAUACUUGAGUUUCGGGAGAGGGUGAGUGGAACUGGCGAAGUGUAGAGGUGAAAUUCGAUGUGAAUAUUCGCAAGAACACCAGUGGCGAAGGCGGCUCACUGGCCCGAUACUGACGCUGAGGCACGAAAGCGUGGGGAGCAAACAGG